rnacentral:rRNA from 1 species
CCGUGCGAAGGUAGCGUAAUCACUUGUCUUUUAAAUAAAGACUCGUAUGAAUGGCAUCACGAAGACUUAACUGUCUCCUUAGUCCUAUCAGUGAAACUGAUCUUUCCGUACAAAAGCGGAAAUAAAGUCAUAAGACGAGAAGACCCUAUGGAGCUUAAAACUAAAAUCUAGCUAUAUCAUCUAUUAAAAUUAAUUAAUACUAUAUCUUUAUAGACUUAGCCAAAGUUUUCAGUUGGGGUGACUGUGGAGAAAAACUAAUCCUCCAUGUAGAUUUAAGCCCUGAGCUACCACUCUCAGCAUUAACAAGUUUAACUUUACUUGAUCCAAUAAUUUUGAUCAACGGACCAAGUUACCCUAGGGAUAACAGCGCAAUCCAUUUUAAGAGUCCAUAUCGACAAAUGGGUUU